rnacentral:siRNA from 1 species
AUAAAAAGAUAUGCUUUAUAAAAC